ACGUAGGGGGCAAGCGUUGUCCGGAUUUAUUGGGCGUAAAGAGCGUGUAGGCGGCCAGACAGGUCUGCUGUGAAAACUCGAGGCUCAACCUCGAGAUGUCGGCGGAAACCGUCUGGCUAGAGUCCGGAAGAGGAGAGUGGAAUUCCUGGUGUAGCGGUGAAAUGCGCAGAUAUCAGGAAGAACACCUAUGGCGAAGGCGGCUCACUGGACCGGUUCUGACGCUGAGGCGCGAAAGCGUGGGGAGCAAACGGGA
rnacentral:rRNA from 1 species